AACAGUUAAUGAAACAGGCAGCACAUAACUGAAUGAAAAAUAAAGAUUAUAGUGUAUUAAUUAGUGGAUAAGCAUAGUUUAUUGAAACUUGCACAGCCAUAACAAAUUUAUCUUUGCAAACUUGGGGAAAUGAGACUUUUGGGAGUACAACCCGUAUUAAUACUGCCAAUAUCAUUUAGGAAGCAAAAAUACCGAUAGUAAGAAAUACAUGAAGGCCGUCGCCAUGCGGAUUUCAAGGAUGCAUAUUGAAGCAAAAAGAAUUAUACAUCAAAAAAACGGAUUAAGGUUAUGGCAAAAAGGCACUCUGGAAUAUUUUGAGAUUUGAUCUUGUAAAUAUACUUCGUUGAAGCAGAAUAAAAUUAUAAUAAACAAUGUACGAUAUACCUACAUAGAAAAUGUGUUUAUUUACAACGAUGAUGAUAUGCUGUAAAAAUAUUUUCACGUUUAUUCAAACAUUCAGCGACAAUUUUAGAGUAUUGAGUAACAAGAAAUCUUUUUUUAUACAGUGAGCUUCUGAAGUAAGUUCCUACUUGAUAGAAAAAAACCAAUAUAUCUUUAAAAUAAGGUUUGUUGGACUUAAUUAAGUAUCAAUAAGUAGAGUUUAUCGACCGGAUGCAAUGUUUUGGAGUUUGAGCGGAACGAUGUAGCCACUAGAAUGGUGAACCCGUUACAGCUCGAGAUGUUUAUGUUAUUUUUUCUAUUACCUUGCUGUAAUAAACAAUUGUAGAAAUAGAAUAUUUUUAAAAUGUUUUAUACAUAGUUAUUAAAAUUUCUCACUCUCGCAAUAAAAUAUUUAAAAAAAUAUAUUUUAAUCCUGACUUAAGCGCUGAAACUACCCGACUGAUCCACAACUGCGGUUUCUCGUUACUUCUACAGAUAUUAUCCUUUUUUACAAAGGACAGGCCAUAUAGCUUUACAGAAUGACCAGGUUACCAUACAUACUUUUCAAUCUCAUCGAAAUCAGAACAUUACGUAAUUAAUAAUACUUUGCAUUUCUGAAAAUUUUUCUCUAUAGCAAAGAAACAAUUGUUUUUCAUAAUCGUUUUCGUUUUUAUUUUUCAACAUGGUCUCUUCUAAGUCUAUACACUUAGUCUCUUCAAAAUAAGCGUUUAUAUAUGCAAUAUCAUCUUCAUUUGAUGAAAACCUCUCCCCUCCAAGUGGAGCUUCAAUGUUAAAAAAUAGGAACAAGUUAUUAGGGACCAAAUCUGGUGAAUAAGGUGGGUGAUCACCCAAUUCGUGAAUUUUAGCUAUGGCGAUCAGCAAAUGUAUCUUCCAUCUCUCUAACCUUAAUCCGACGGCAGUUGAGUACCAUUUGGUAAACUUUUUCGAUUAUAUCACUUGUUGACGCAGUUUACAGCUGCCUUGAACGCUUGUGGUCAGUCAAGCUGAUACGGGAACGAGCUGUCAAAAAUUUUAGGUCGUAAAUGAUGGUGCAAAGUACACACGUACACAGUGUUUCACUACUCACUAGCUUUUACCCGCGGCUUCGCUCGCAUCGAAUCCAUUAAUAAGUAUCAGAAAUCAUGUAGCUAUAUUAGAACCUGAGAUACAGAUCUCUGAAUGUAGAAAAAUUGCCAAAAACCUACAAAAAUCCAUAAUUGGACAUUGAAUGUCCGCGCCUAGCUCCUCUCCAAAUCAACCGAUUUAAAUGUUCAAAAACUCAAAAGAAAGAAGGUGUUUCAGCAGGUGUUCUUAAACCAAAACGAAGUCUCUCUCUUGAAUAGAACCUGGGAUAUUGAGGAUAGAACGUGUGUAUAUGAAAAACUCCCAUAAGUAAUGUACAGGGGGAAAUCGCAUUUGAGUAUAACUUGAGAAUGGCGAAAAUUAGAUGAAAUCCAAUGGUUGAUGGCUGAUCUGUGCAUCAAUACCUUUCAUUGAAAAAAAAAUUAAACAAAUCGGUUGGGUAGAACGCCUGAACGGACUCGGAUUGGAAAUCAUCAAUUUUUUUAAUUACCAACCCACCAAAAAACCUUCCUCGAUAUAGUGACGAUUCUACGCAAUAGAGUUUAUGUUUUCGACAUAUGUAUGAACGAUUCUGUUUUGUGUUCCAACCAACUUUGUGAUUGUACAGAAAAUAUCAUUUCAAUAAGCUUCCAAAAACAGUUCUAAGAACGGUCUAGAUUAGUAGGAUGGAACAAACUUUGCGUCUGCCAACAGGACAGUUACCUGAACAAUUCUGUUUUGUGUUUCAACCGACUAGGCAUCGUUUGUGAACUAUUACCAGGACUAUCCUUUCGAUAUUUGGCUAAUAUUAGAUACAAGAACCGUUCAUAACCGGAGAUCGCGCGAACAUAUCAUUUAAACGCUUUCAAUAAUCAUUCCAAGAACGGCCUAGAUUAGCAGGUUUGAACAAACUUUACGUGUUUUAACAGGGCAGCUACCGUUAUAGGAACGAUUCUAUUUUGUGUUCCAACCGACUAGGCAUCGUUUGUGAAUAGUUACCAGAAUAUUCUUUCGAUACUCGGCUGAUGUUAGAUACGUGAACUGUUCAUAACCGAAGAUUGCGCGAAAAUAUCAUUUAAACGCUUUCAAUAACCAUUCCAAGAACGGUCCAGAUUAGCAGGUCGGAACAAACCUAUGACAAUAAAAUCUAUCACCUCAAAAAUUGUAUGUUGAUGUAUUUUAUGUAGGUAUUAAAAUUAGUUUUAUUAUAGUUAAUUAAUUAAUAGUGAAUACAUGUUUACAUAAAUGCUCAGUUUUUAUUUUAUUUUAGUUCAAUUA